rnacentral:rRNA from 1 species
UUACCAGGUUAAAUCAAAAGAGAUCCUUCGGGGGAAGGUGGUGCAUGGCUGUCGUCAGCUCGUGUCGUGAGAUGUUGGGUUAAGUCCCGCAACGAGCGCAACCCUAUCUAUGUUGCCAGCGUACGGGACUCGUAGAGACUGCCGGGGUCAAUCGGAGGAAGGUGGGGAUGACGUCAAGUCAUCAUGCCCCUUAUGCUGGGCUGCAAACACGCUACAAUGGGGUACAAGGGGCACCGCGAGGUUAGCAAUCCCAAACCGUCUCAGUUCGGAUUGGAGGCUGCAACUCGCCUCCAUGAAGCUGGAGUUGCUAGUAAUCCCGAUCAGCCGCGGGGUGAAUACGUUCCCGGGCCUUGUACACACCGCCCGUCACACCACGAAAGUCGGAAACCGAA